rnacentral:rRNA from 1 species
GACGAACGCUGGCGGCGUGCUUAACACAUGCAAGUCGAACGGAAAGGCCCUGCUUGCAGGGUACUCGAGUGGCGAACGGGUGAGUAACACGUGGGUGAUCUGCCCUGCACUUCGGGAUAAGCCUGGGAAACUGGGUCUAAUACCGGAUAGGAGCCAUUUUUAGUGUGAUGGUUGGAAAGUUUUUUUCGGUGUAGGAUGAGCUCGCGGCCUAUCAGCUUGUUGGUGGGGUAAUGGCCUACCAAGGCGGCGACGGGUAGCCGGCCUGAGAGGGUGGACGGCCACAUUGGGACUGAGAUACGGCCCAGACUCCUACGGGAGGCAGCAGUGGGGAAUAUUGCACAAUGGGCGCAAGCCUGAUGCAGCGACGCCGCGUGGGGGAUGACGGCCUUCGGGUUGGAAACUCCUUUCGCUAGGGACGAAGCUUUUUGUGACGGUACCUAGAUAAGAAGCACCGGCUAACUACGUG